rnacentral:RNase_P_RNA from 1 species
AGGUGAUCGCGGCUGCGAAGCGUGUAAGGAGGCCAUCGGCCGUACUGCACGGAAUGAGCAGGUGAGGAAAGUCCGGGCUUCACAGGGCAGGAUGCCGGCUAACGGCCGGCGGAGGCGACUCCCGGGACAGUGCAGCAGAAAUAUACCGCCAGGCUCCGGCCUGGUAAGGGUGGAAGGGCAGUGUAAGAGACUACCGCCGGCGCGGUAACGGGCCGGGCACAUGUAAACCCCAUCCGAAGCAAGACCGAAACGUGACAAAGGGCGGCCCGUCCAGUCACAGGUUGGUUGCUCGAGCCUGCCGGCAACGGCAGGCCUAGACAGAUGAUCACCCACGACAUAACCCGGCUUAUCGUCCCUCUG